UGGCUCUGGUUUCUCUUCAGUCAUGUGUGAAUCUUUUGCUCUUUAUUAAAGGUUUCUGUAGAGAGAAACAUCAAUGAGUUUGACGGGGUUUUUUUUGUAAGUUUUGCUCGGGCAAAGCU